GUACUGAUUAUGGGAGUACAUAUUCUAAAAUUGGAACCAUACAGAGACGAUUUGCAUGGCCCUGGGAAAGGAUGACACGCAAAUCCGUGAAGUGAUCCAUUUUAUA
rfam:Octopus bimaculoides Scaffold12416_contig_377, whole genome shotgun sequence.